rnacentral:rRNA from 1 species
UACGAAGGGUGCAGGCGUUAAUCGGAAUUACUGGGCGUAAAGCGUGCGCAGGCGGCUCCUUAAGUCAGAUGUGAAAUCCCCGGGCUUAACCUGGGAACUGCGUUUGAAACUGGGGAGCUAGAGUGUGGAAGAGGGGGGUGGAAUUCCAGGUGUAGCAGUGAAAUGCGUAGAGAUCUGGAGGAACACCGAUGGCGAAGGCAGCCCCCUGGGCUAACACUGACGCUCAUGCACGAAAGCGUGGGGAGCAAACAGG